CACGUAGGGGACGAGCGUUGUCCGGAUUCAUUGGGCGUAAAGCGCGCGUAGGCGGCUCGGCAAGUCGGGCGUGAAAUGCCGGGGCUCAACCCCGGGACUGCGUCCGAUACUGGAAGGCUUGAAUCCGGGAGAGGGAUGUGGAAUUCCAGGUGUAGCGGUGAAAUGCGUAGAUAUCUGGAGGAACACCGGUGGCGAAGGCGACAUCCUGGACCGGUAUUGACGCUGAGGCGCGAAAGCCAGGGGAGCAAACGGG
rnacentral:rRNA from 1 species